rnacentral:tRNA from 1 species
UGCAACUCAGUGGUAGAGUGCUUGCCUAGCAUGCGUGAGGCCCUGGGUUUGAUCCCCAGCAAAGCAA